UACCCUACGGGGGAAGGGGGGAACCAGGGUUUAGAAUUACAGCAUUGGGGGAGAAGCAGGUUAAGGAGGAGCAGUUCAGUUCCAGCUAUCGACAGGAGACAAAGAUGGGGUCUUCCCCCUUUUGACCCCUCGAGCACAAACAUUAAGACUCGGGACAGCGAUUUUACUGAUACAGGCACAGAAGUUUCUGAGGAUGAAUCAAACGAUAGAUUGGGGGAGGGGGAAGAGAAAUCACUUGUAGUAAGACCAAAGACAGGGGGAAGAAGAGUACAAGAAGCUCUGUCAGACCCCAGCCCCGUGGCUAGUAGGACAAGAGCACAAAAGGAAAAAGCCUACUGUAGAAGCCCCCUUAAGGAGAACCACAGAGAGAUCCCCGCAGAGGUUGAGAAUGCUGUCAUCCCUUUAGUGUGGACUAGCGAAUAUCCUGGGAGGUCCAAGCAAGCAAAAACCAUAAGCAUCACGGUCAAGCCAGGAGCAACACAGGCUCUACUUUACAGAAGCUCCAAAAAUUCGUCAAACUUUCCAGACCCAUAGGAUUGGACACCCCUACUCAUCAAUUCCAACCAGGAGACUAGGUCUACAUCAAAUGAAUUAUAGAGAACACCCUAACCCUAUGGAAGAAGAUAUAGCCAUAGACUCAACAACCUUCAGGCCUAGAAUUCUGGAAGGCCUCCAAGAACAUUACGCACUCUGAGGAAGAUGAAGAUGAAGAAGAGGGGGUCCCAAAACGCCCCCAGACCCAAUUCCCAAGAGGCGUGGCGGGGGCAGAACCUGGGUUGUGGCUGGACGAGGAUUGGGUGAAAAUCAUUAUAAAAACUGUGAACAUCUGUAUUCCAGAGUGUGCGUUGGGGGUAUUCCGGAAAGCCUGGGGGCUAAUUAAAGCCUUUGCAUCCUUAUCUUAUCUCCUACCUAAUUUGACUUGGAGUCUUUUUUUCCCCACAGUCAUUUAGGCAACAAAGAAAGACAAGAAAGGAUCAGUAAUAUAUGUGCCCCAGAGUAUUAUACAGUGGGGCAAAAGAUAGCUUUGCACCUUCUUUUUUUAUCCUGCAACACCAAUGGACCUUAGAAAAUAUUACAUGGCAGAUACAUACCCCCAGUAAUUGGACCAGGUAUGCAUU